rnacentral:rRNA from 1 species
GGAUCAUUGCUGGAACGCGCUUCGGCGCACCCAGAAACCCUUUGUGAACUUAUACCUUACUGUUGCCUCGGCGCAGGCCGGCCCCUCCACGGGGGCCCCUCGGAGACGAGGAGCAGCCCGCCGGCGGCCAACCAAACUCUUGUUUCUUAGUGAAUCUCUGAGUAAAAAACAUAAAUGAAUCAAAACUUUCAACAACGGAUCUCUUGGUUCUGGCAUCGAUGAAGAACGCAGCGAAAUGCGAUAAGUAAUGUGAAUUGCAGAAUUCAGUGAAUCAUCGAAUCUUUGAACGCACAUUGCGCCCUCUGGUAUUCCGGAGGGCAUGCCUGUUCGAGCGUCAUUUCAACCCUCAAGCCUGGCUUGGUGUUGGGGCACUGCUUCGAGAGAAGCAGGCCCUGAAAUCUAGUGGCGAGCUCGCCAGGACCCCGAGCGUAGUAGUUAUAUCUCGUUCUGGAAGGCCCUGGCGGUGCCCUGCCGUUAAACCCCCAACUUCUGAAAUUUGA